rnacentral:rRNA from 1 species
UACGUAGGGUGCAAGCGUUGUCCGGAAUUAUUGGGCGUAAAGAGCUCGUAGGCGGUUUGUCGCGUCUGCUGUGAAAACUCGGGGCUUAACCCCGGGCCUGCAGUGGGUACGGGCAGACUAGAGUGCGGUAGGGGAGACUGGAAUUCCUGGUGUAGCGGUGAAAUGCGUAGAUAUAGCGGAGGAACACCAGUGGCGAAGGCGGCUCACUGGCCCGAUAACUGACGCUGAGGCACGAAAGCUGGGGGAGCAAACAGG